rnacentral:rRNA from 1 species
UAACAACUCACCUGCCGAAGCAACUAGCCCUGAAAAUGGAUGGGCNNCUAUAGCGUCGUGCCUAUACCGGGGCCGUCAACGGCAAAGUGGGGCGGGCCGUUCUCUCCGGAGUCGGCCCGUCCGUUACGCCUUGACGAGUAGGGUGGUCGCGGCGGUGUGCGCAGAAGGGUCUGGGCGUGAGCCUGCCUGGAGCCGCCGUCGGCGCAGAUCUUGGUGGUAGUAGCAAAUACUCUAGCGAGGACCUGGAGGACUGAUGUGGAGAAGGGUUUCUUGUGAACAGCCGUUGCACAAGAGUCAGUCGACCCUAAGCCCUAGGAGAAAUCCGAUGUCGAUGGAGAAUAAAUACACAGUCUGCUCGCUUGCGAGCUCGCUUGAAUUGAAUAUCUCCCGGCUGGGCGAAAGGGAAUCCGGUUCCUAUUCCGGAACCCGGCUGCGGAACCGCAACUUCGCGGGCGUUCGCCUGCGAGCGCUCGUCGGGGUAACCCAAAGUGGCCCGGAGACUCCGGCGGGAGGUCUGGAAAGAGUUUUCUUUUCUUUAUAAGCGUUCGAGUUCCCUGGAAUCCUAUUGCAGGGAGAUAGGGUUUGGAACGCGAAGAGCACCGCAGUUGCGGCGGUGUCUGGACCUUCCCCCCGGACCUUGAAAAUCCGGGUGAGGGCUACGCGGAAUGUCGCGCCGGAUCGUACCCAUAUCCGCAGCAGGUCUCCAAGGUUAAGAGCCUCUAGUCGAUAGAAUAAUGUAGGUAAGGGAAGUCGGCAAA